rnacentral:lncRNA from 1 species
CCAACUAAUCUUUACAAAUGCCCUGAUGCUGCAAACUGCUCUAUGCAAUGAUCUGCCUGUGUAGAGCAGUUUGCAAGAUCAGGGCCAAAAGUCCUGAGAGGUUUUUAUUAUUACUACUAUCUAGAUUAUAAGAUCUUCAAAGCAAGGACUGUGUGUGUGUGUGUGUGUGUGUGUGUGUGUGUGUGUGUGUGUGUGUGUGUGUGUGUGUGUGUGUGUGUGUGUGUGUGUGUGUGUGUGUGUGUGUGUGUGGUCAGCAUGGGAGGGUGGGCUGUAUGCGCAGGCCCAGAUCCUCACAAGUAUUUAGGUGCCUCUCUUCCACUGAUUUCAAUGGGAGUUAAACACCUAAUUACCUUUGAGGAUCUGGUCUACGGUACCUAUCACAAUGGGGCCCUGUUCUCUGAGCAAGGCCACUAAGCACUACCAGAAUACACAUAACAAAUCAAUAUUAAAUACAUUUUUUUCAUAUCUGAAUUGUUAAUUAAUAUUAGUAUUCCACAAUUAGAAGAUGUGUAUGGAGAUGUAUUGUCUAUGGAGGUGGGUGAAAGACAGUUAUAAGUACUGUAGAUCUGGUGGUGUAUUAUGUGUUGAAAAUUCUUUUUUUUUUCUUUUCCUUUCUAGAAUUUGUAAGCUGAAAAACAAUAUUUUUAGAAGCUAUGUCUUUGGGGGUCAGAGUUCAGGUGCUUAUUGUUUAAUGAUGAUGUUCACAUAUCAAGAUUUUUUCCUAGAGGAUGUAUGAAUUGUAAAGGAGACUGCAAAAGUGCUGCUUUUGGGUCAACCAGCUCAGGGUGCUGACUCUGCUCUCUCUCUCUCUGGAAGCAAAGUCCAGGACUAGAAAAGCUGAGUCAUCUUUUUGACCCUGAACUUGCAAAUGCGUAUGAAAGAUGGCUGCUUGGGGAGAAAAAUUAAAUCUGUCGGAGUGCACUGCAGUGCAGUGCCAACACAGAACAGAACAGAUUCUAGCUCACGCUCCUGUACCUCUGCAGGCUUUGUGGAGACAGCAGGAGCAAAACAGAGUAAGGGUUUAUUUUGGUCACUGAAGUCAGCAGAUCGGACUCCACUGCAGACAGGAAGCAGGCUGCCAGUUUUACAUUGCCACUCUCCUGAGCAUCACUGCACUUUCCUGCAGGGAACAGGUAAUAAAAGUUUGCUUAUUUAGCGAGUCUGUAAGUUUCCACAGAAGACAUUGACCC